GAUGAACGCUGGCGGCGUGCUUAACACAUGCAAGUCGAACGAUGAAGCCCAGCUUGCUGGGUGGAUUAGUGGCGAACGGGUGAGUAACACGUGAGUAACCUGCCCUUAACUCUGGGAUAAGCCUGGGAAACUGGGUCUAAUACCGGAUAGGAGCGUCCACCGCAUGGUGGGUGGUGGAAAGAGUUAUCGGUUUUGGAUGGACUCGCGGCCUAUCAGCUUGUUGGUGAGGUAAUGGCUCACCAAGGCGAUGACGGGUAGCCGGCCUGAGAGGGUGACCGGCCACGCUGGGACUGCGACACGGCCCAGACUCCUACGGGAGGCAGCAGUGGGGAAUAUUGCGCAGUGGGCGCACGCCUGGUGCAGCGACGCCGCGUGAGGGAUGACGGCCUUCGGGUUGUAAACCUCUUUCAGUAGGGAAGAAGCGAAAGUGACGGUACCUGCAGAAGAAGCACCGGCUAACUACGUG
rnacentral:rRNA from 1 species